rnacentral:rRNA from 1 species
CAGUCGCCGCGGUAAUACGUAGGGUGCGAGCGUUAUCCGGAAUUAUUGGGCGUAAAGAGCUCGUAGGCGGUUUGUCGCGUCUGCUGUGAAAACUGGAGGCUCAACCUCCAGCCUGCAGUGGGUACGGGCAGACUAGAGUGCGGUAGGGGAGAUUGGAAUUCCUGGUGUAGCGGUGGAAUGCGCAGAUAUCAGGAGGAACACCGAUGGCGAAGGCAGAUCUCUGGGCCGUAACUGACGCUGAGGAGCGAAAGCAUGGGGAGCGAACCGGAUUAGAGACCCCUGUAGUCCCUGUCUCUUAUAC